GGGUUGUGAGGUUAAGCGACUAAGCGUACACGGUGGAUGCCCUGGCAGUCAGAGGCGAUGAAGGACGUGCUAAUCUGCGAUAAGCGUCGGUAAGGUGAUAUGAACCGUUAUAACCGGCGAUUUCCGAAUGGGGAAACCCAGUGUGUUUCGACACACUAUCAUUAACUGAAUCCAUAGGUUAAUGAGGCGAACCGGGGGAACUGAAACAUCUAAGUACCCCGAGGAAAAGAAAUCAACCGAGAUUCCCCCAGUAGCGGCGAGCGAACGGGGAGCAGCCCAGAGCCUGAAUCAGUGUGUGUGUUAGUGGAAGCGUCUGGAAAGGCGCGCGAUACAGGGUGACAGCCCCGUACACAAAAAUGCACAUGCUGUGAGCUCGAUGAGUAGGGCGGGACACGUGGUAUCCUGUCUGAAUAUGGGGGGACCAUCCUCCAAGGCUAAAUACUCCUGACUGACCGAUAGUGAACCAGUACCGUGAGGGAAAGGCGAAAAGAACCCCGGCGAGGGGAGUGAAAAAGAACCUGAAACCGUGUACGUACAAGCAGUGGGAGCACGCUUAGGCGUGUGACUGCGUACCUUUUGUAUAAUGGGUCAGCGACUUAUAUUCUGUAGCAAGGUUAACCGAAUAGGGGAGCCGAAGGGAAACCGAGUCUUAACUGGGCGUUAAGUUGCAGGGUAUAGACCCGAAACCCGGUGAUCUAGCCAUGGGCAGGUUGAAGGUUGGGUAACACUAACUGGAGGACCGAACCGACUAAUGUUGAAAAAUUAGCGGAUGACUUGUGGCUGGGGGUGAAAGGCCAAUCAAACCGGGAGAUAGCUGGUUCUCCCCGAAAGCUAUUUAGGUAGCGCCUCGUGAAUUCAUCUCCGGGGGUAGAGCACUGUUUCGGCAAGGGGGUCAUCCCGACUUACCAACCCGAUGCAAACUGCGAAUACCGGAGAAUGUUAUCACGGGAGACACACGGCGGGUGCUAACGUCCGUCGUGAAGAGGGAAACAACCCAGACCGCCAGCUAAGGUCCCAAAGUCAUGGUUAAGUGGGAAACGAUGUGGGAAGGCCCAGACAGCCAGGAUGUUGGCUUAGAAGCAGCCAUCAUUUAAAGAAAGCGUAAUAGCUCACUGGUCGAGUCGGCCUGCGCGGAAGAUGUAACGGGGCUAAACCAUGCACCGAAGCUGCGGCAGCGACACUAUGUGUUGUUGGGUAGGGGAGCGUUCUGUAAGCCUGUGAAGGUGUGCUGUGAGGCAUGCUGGAGGUAUCAGAAGUGCGAAUGCUGACAUAAGUAACGAUAAAGCGGGUGAAAAGCCCGCUCGCCGGAAGACCAAGGGUUCCUGUCCAACGUUAAUCGGGGCAGGGUGAGUCGACCCCUAAGGCGAGGCCGAAAGGCGUAGUCGAUGGGAAACAGGUUAAUAUUCCUGUACUUGGUGUUACUGCGAAGGGGGGACGGAGAAGGCUAUGUUGGCCGGGCGACGGUUGUCCCGGUUUAAGCGUGUAGGCUGGUUUUCCAGGCAAAUCCGGAAAAUCAAGGCUGAGGCGUGAUGACGAGGCACUACGGUGCUGAAGCAACAAAUGCCCUGCUUCCAGGAAAAGCCUCUAAGCAUCAGGUAACAUCAAAUCGUACCCCAAACCGACACAGGUGGUCAGGUAGAGAAUACCAAGGCGCUUGAGAGAACUCGGGUGAAGGAACUAGGCAAAAUGGUGCCGUAACUUCGGGAGAAGGCACGCUGAUAUGUAGGUGAAGUCCCUUGCGGAUGGAGCUGAAAUCAGUCGAAGAUACCAGCUGGCUGCAACUGUUUAUUAAAAACACAGCACUGUGCAAACACGAAAGUGGACGUAUACGGUGUGACGCCUGCCCGGUGCCGGAAGGUUAAUUGAUGGGGUCAGCGCAAGCGAAGCUCUUGAUCGAAGCCCCGGUAAACGGCGGCCGUAACUAUAACGGUCCUAAGGUAGCGAAAUUCCUUGUCGGGUAAGUUCCGACCUGCACGAAUGGCGUAAUGAUGGCCAGGCUGUCUCCACCCGAGACUCAGUGAAAUUGAACUCGCUGUGAAGAUGCAGUGUACCCGCGGCAAGACGGAAAGACCCCGUGAACCUUUACUAUAGCUUGACACUGAACAUUGAGCCUUGAUGUGUAGGAUAGGUGGGAGGCUUAGAAGUGUGGACGCCAGUCUGCAUGGAGCCGACCUUGAAAUACCACCCUUUAAUGUUUGAUGUUCUAACGUUGACCCGUAAUCCGGGUUGCGGACAGUGUCUGGUGGGUAGUUUGACUGGGGCGGUCUCCUCCUAAAGAGUAACGGAGGAGCACGAAGGUUGGCUAAUCCUGGUCGGACAUCAGGAGGUUAGUGCAAUGGCAUAAGCCAGCUUGACUGCGAGCGUGACGGCGCGAGCAGGUGCGAAAGCAGGUCAUAGUGAUCCGGUGGUUCUGAAUGGAAGGGCCAUCGCUCAACGGAUAAAAGGUACUCCGGGGAUAACAGGCUGAUACCGCCCAAGAGUUCAUAUCGACGGCGGUGUUUGGCACCUCGAUGUCGGCUCAUCACAUCCUGGGGCUGAAGUAGGUCCCAAGGGUAUGGCUGUUCGCCAUUUAAAGUGGUACGCGAGCUGGGUUUAGAACGUCGUGAGACAGUUCGGUCCCUAUCUGCCGUGGGCGCUGGAGAACUGAGGGGGGCUGCUCCUAGUACGAGAGGACCGGAGUGGACGCAUCACUGGUGUUCGGGUUGUCAUGCCAAUGGCACUGCCCGGUAGCUAAAUGCGGAAGAGAUAAGUGCUGAAAGCAUCUAAGCACGAAACUUGCCCCGAGAUGAGUUCUCCCUGACCCUUUAAGGGUCCUGAAGGAACGUUGAAGACGACGACGUUGAUAGGCCGGGUGUGUAAGCGCAGCGAUGCGUUGAGCUAACCGGUACUAAUGAACCGUGAGGCUUAACCUUACAACGCCGAAGCUGUU
rnacentral:rRNA from 1 species